GUUAAAGACUACAUGAGACUUUGACAGAUGGCGGGAAACCCUCAUCCACUGGUAGAGGAAUGUCUGCAACUAAGCCGAGGGCCACUGGAUAAGGGUUGUUGAUGGUAAAACAGGUAGAGGAAUGUCUGCAACUAAGCCGAGGGCCACUGGAUAAGGGUUGUUGAUGGUAAAACAGGUUAAAGACUACAUGAGACUUUGACAGAUGGCGGGAAACCCUCAUCCACUGGUACGAACCCGGUAGAGGAAUGUCUGCAACUAAGCCGAGGGCCACUGGAUAAGGCUUGUUGAUGGUAAAACAGGUAGAGGAAUGUCUGCAACUAAGCCGAGGGCCACUGGAUAAGGGUUGUUGAUGGUAAAACAGGUUAAAGACUACAUGAGACUUUGACAGAUGGCGGGAAACCCUCAUCCACUGGUACGAACCCGGUAAAUUGAUGGCUGUAAAACAGUGACCGCUGAUUCGCAUCGAGUUCUUUCUUGCAAAACGCAUGACCCCCCUUUUUUAUUGUCUAAAUCAUUGCGACUUGGAAUGCUCUUUAAGAAAUUAAAGGUAGAGGAAUGUCUGCAACUAAGCCGAGGGCCACUGGAUAAGGGUUGUUGAUGGUAAAACAGGUAGAGGAAUGUCUGCAACUAAGCCGAGGGCCACUGGAUAAGGGUUGUUGAUGGUAAAACAGGUUAAAGACUACAUGAGACUUUGACAGAUGGCGGGAAACCCUCAUCCACUGGUACGAACCCGGUAAAUUGAUGGCUGUAAAACAGUGACCGCUGAUUCGCAUCGAGUUCUUUCUUGCAAAACGCAUGACCCCCCUUUUUUAUUGUCUAAAUCAUUGCGACUUGGAAUGCUCUUUAAGAAAAGGUAUGGUUAUGGGGGUCUCUAUGCGCAAAAGUUUGACUUUAUUUUUUGUUGAAGUUAUUGCUUUUACAUUGAAUUUGUGUAGGAAAUCUUUUGGUAUAUUGUAACCUGAAUCGACUUGAAAGCGUUUUGCAAAGACGAGAAGUGCGUAAAUAUCUCACCUUGUAAGAAACCUAUUUCGUGGGGCAAUUGUCGUGUUAUGGCGUCUAUCUAUCUAUCUUCGGAUACUGUUGAACUCCCCUUUCGGGUAUUAUAAACAGAUUGCGCUGUCAGUGAAAGGAAAAGAUUUAUACAAUAUUGUACAAUAAAAGUAUUGGCAGUGAGACGUCAAAGAAAGAAAGUAAGAAUGAAACAAAGUUUGAAAGUGUUAGUAUAUGUAUAGACAAGAGUUAAAAUAAGGUUUAAAACACACUCUGCCGCAACUAAUUGUAUGAGAUGUGGCUUAAUGCCAGCUCGAAGGAUUCAAACGUUGGCAGGAGGACAAUUUUUGGUGGGAGGUUGUUCGAUAGUAUGACAGUGCUGGGAAAAUAAGAAAAUUUAUAAUAGUUAGCUACUGUGUGAAUCUGCCUAUAAGCUAAAGGAUGUGUAUCGCGAGUCAAUCUCCUGGGUUUAUCAAAAUAUGUGGGGACGGGGACAGCUAUUAAUGAGUGGAAAAUUUUGUAAAAUAAUACUAUUUUAGUAUCAGUCCAUCUGUUCUCUAGAGAUCUUAUACCGAGUGACUGUUGCAUGUCUGAGUCACUAUCAUACGUGGAAUAGCUGUAAUGUAGCCAUCUGAUUGCUCUUAUUUGAACAAUUUCGAUUUUAUUGAUGUUUUGUUUAGUGUAUGGCGACAAGACUGGAGACGAGUAUUCUACUUGAGGCAUGACAAGAGUUUUAUUGGCAGUUUGUUUUACUUUUUUGUUUUUAGUUUGGAUGUUACAUUUAAGGAAACCAAGUGUUCUAUUUGCUGUUGUACAUAUUCUAUCAAUGUGAGUGUUGACAGAAAGGUCUUUGGAAAAGUCUAAUCCUUCGUAUUUUGAACUUGGUACGGUUUUAAGGAUAUGGCCAUACAAUAAAUAAUUAUGUUUGAGUUUA